rnacentral:misc_RNA from 1 species
UGGCUCUCGCAUCGAUGAAGAACGCAGCGAAAUGUGAUAAGUAAUGUGAAUUGCAGAAUUCAGUGAAUCAUCGAAUCUUUGAACGCAUCUUGCGCUCUCUGGUAUUCCGGAGAGCAUGUCUGUUUGAGUGUCAUGAACUCUUCAACCCUCCAAUUUCUAGUAGAUUGCGAGGAGUUUGGAUUUUGAGCGUUUGCUAGUCUGACUAGCUCGUUCGUAAUGAAUUAGCAUCUCGAAUUCGAAUUCGGAUUGACUCAGUGUAAUAGACUAUUCGCUGAGGACACUUUUUAUUAAGUGGCCGGACGAGAAACUGUUUAGAAGCUUCUAAUGCAUUUUGAUUAAGUCAAAAAUCUUCAAUUUAGACCUCAGAUCAGGCAGGAUUACCCGCUGA